AAAACUUUCAACAACGGAUCUCUUGGUUCUCGCAUCGAUGAAGAACGCAGCGAAAUGCGAUACGUAAUGUGAAUUGCAGAAUUCCGUGAAUCAUCGAAUCUUUGAACGCACAUUGCGCCCCCUGGUAUUCCGGGGGGCAUGCCUGUUUGAGCGUCAU
rnacentral:rRNA from 1 species